AUUGAACGCUGGCGGCAUGCUUUACACAUGCAAGUCGAACGGCAGCGCGGGCUUUGGCUUGUCGGCGGGUGGCGAACGGGUGAGUAAUACAACGGAACGUGCCCAGUUGUGGGGGAUAGCUCGGUGAAAGACGGAUUAAUACCGCAUACGACAUGAGGUUGAAAGCGGGGGAUCUUCGUACCACGCGCUAUUGCAGCGGCCGAUGGCAGAUUAGCUAGUUGGUGGGGUAAAGGCUUACCAAGGCGACGAUCUGUAGCUGGUCUGAGAGGAUGACCAGCCACACUGGCACUGAGACACGGCCCAGACUCCUACGGGAGGCAGCAGUGGGGAAUUUUGGCCAAUGGGCGAAAGCCUGAUCCAGCAAUGCCGCGUGUGUGAUGAAGGCCUUCGGGUUGUAAAGCACUUUUGGCAGGGACGAAAAGGACUGUACCAAAACCACGGUUCGGUGACGGUACCCGCAGAAUAAGCACCGGCUAACUACGUG
rnacentral:rRNA from 1 species